UACGGGGGGGGCAAGCGUUGUUCGGAAUUACUGGGCGUAAAGGGCUCGUAGGCGGCCAACUAAGUCAGACGUGAAAUCCCUCGGCUUAACCGGGGAACUGCCUCUGAUACUGGAUGGCUUGAGGUUGGGAGAGGGAUGCGGAAUUCCAGGUGUAGCGGUGAAAUGCGUAGAUAUCUGGAGGAACACCGGUGGCGAAGGCGGCAUCCUGGACCAAUUCUGACGCUGAGGAGCGAAAGCCAGGGGAGCAAACGGG
rnacentral:rRNA from 1 species